GACGAACGCUGGCGGCGCGCCUAACACAUGCAAGUCGAACGGAGCUGAGAGAAGCUUGCUUUUCUUAGCUUAGUGGCGAACGGGUGAGUAACGCGUGAGUAACCUGCCCUGGAGUGGGGGACAACAGUUGGAAACGACUGCUAAUACCGCAUAAGCCCACGAUCCGGCAUCGGAUUGAGGGAAAAGGAUUUAUUCGCUUCAGGAUGGACUCGCGUCCAAUUAGCUAGUUGGUGAGGUAACGGCCCACCAAGGCGACGAUUGGUAGCCGGACUGAGAGGUUGAACGGCCACAUUGGGACUGAGACACGGCCCAGACUCCUACGGGAGGCAGCAGUGGGGGAUAUUGCACAAUGGGGGAAACCCUGAUGCAGCGACGCCGCGUGAAGGAAGAAGGUUUUCGGAUUGUAAACUCCUGUCGUUAGGGACGAUAAUGACGGUACCUAACAAGAAAGCACCGGCUAACUACGUG
rnacentral:rRNA from 1 species